AACGCGAAGAACCUUACCAGGGCUUGACAUGUACCGGAAAACGGCGGAAACGUCGUCCUCCCGCAAGGGACCGGUAUGCAGGUGUUGCAUGGCUGUCGUCAGCUCGUGUCGUGAGAUGUUGGGUUAAGUCCCGCAACGAGCGCAACCCCCGUGGCAUGUUAAAUCUCUCAUGCCAGACUGCCGAGAGAAACUCGGAGGAAGGCGGGGAUGACGUCAAGUCCUCAUGGCCCUUAUGGGCUGGGCUACACACGUGCUACAAUGGUGGUGACAGUGGGCAGCGAGAUCGCGAGAUCGAGCCAAUCUCCAAAAGCCAUCUCAGUUCGGAUCGCACUCUGCAACUCGGGUGCGUGAAGUUGGAAUCGCUAGUAAUCGCGGAUCAGCACGCCGCGGUGAAUACGUUCCCGGGCCUUGUACACACCG
rnacentral:rRNA from 1 species